rnacentral:rRNA from 1 species
GGAUGAACGCUGGCGGCGUGCCUAAUACCUGCACGUCGAGCGAACGGACGAGAAGCUUGCUUUUCUGAUGUUAGCGGCGGACGGGUGAGUAACACGUGGAUAACCUACCUAUAAGACUGGGAUAACUUCGGGAAACCGGAGCUAAUACCGGAUAAUAUCUUGAACCGCAUGGUUCAAAAGUGAAAGACGGUCUUGCUGUCACUUAUAGAUGGAUCCGCGCUGCAUUAGCUAGUUGGUAAGGUAACGGCUUACCAAGGCAACGAUGCAUAGCCGACCUGAGGGGGUGAUCGGCCACACGGGAACGUGGACACGGUCCAGACUCCUACGGGAGGCAGCAGUAGGGAAUCUUCCGCAAUAGGCGAAACCCUGACGGAGCAACGCCGCGUGAGUGAUGAAGGUCUUCGGAGCGUAAAACUCUGUUAUGAGGGAAGAACAUAUGUGUAAGUAACUGUGCACAUCUUGACGGUACCUAAUCAGAAAGCCACGGCUGACUACGUG